rnacentral:rRNA from 1 species
GCCAGAGCCAUAUCACCCUGCACUUCUCGCCUGGUUUACCACUGCAGCUAAGCAGGUUUGAGCCUAGCCAGUACCUGGAUGGGAGACCUCCUGGGGAAAACUACGGUUGCUGCUGGAC